UGUCAAUAGAUUCUUCACUUUUUAGUCAUACGCAGAGACAUCAUGAGAGUUCUUAUUGCCUGUACACUUCUUGCCCUUACCUGUGCCCAAUUCCAUUUCCCAUUCUGGAAUGGACUACACAGUGAUAGACAUGACGGUUACACCUUUGAAUAUCACAGCCGACACAACUUGUUUUUGGUGCGCGACAGCCGUCAUUGUUACUUGGUAGACGCCCCUAAUGCAUGGGAUGCCGUUGUCGCUGAUAAAGCCAAGAGAAACCAGAUUGAAGAUGAAAUCGUAAAAAUGAUCAAGGACAACCAAGGAACUCAUAGAGAAAGUGGAUUCCAGGCUUUGGCUCAAUUCCAUGAUCCCUUGGAAGCUGCAGAAUGUAUCAGAAAAACUGUCUAUACUUUGGAUUACAAAUACCAACCUGCCAUGACAAACACAGCUACCACCGCUGCUAAUUAAAUUAUGAUGUGAAUAAAAUGUUAUUCUUUA